rnacentral:rRNA from 1 species
GACUAACGCUGGCGGCGCGCCUAACACAUGCAAGUCGCACGAGAAACUCUGUAGCAAUACGGGGCGUAAAGUGGCGAACGGGUGAGUAAUGCAUGGGUGACCUGUCCUCAAGAUGGGAAUAACCUCGCGAAAGCGGGGCUAAUACCCAAUGCCAUCUCGGUUCUACGGGAUCGGGAUGAAAGGUAGCUGUUACAGGCUGUCACUUGAGGAAGGCCCAUGCCCAUCAGCUAGUUGGUAGGGUAACGGCCUACCAAGGCUAUGACGGGUAGCUGGUCUGAGAGGACGACCAGCCACACUGGCACUGAGACACGGGCCAGACUCCUACGGGAGCAGCAGUGAGGAAUCUUGCGCAA